AGAAUUGACGGGGGCCCGCACAAGCGGUGGAGCAUGUGGUUAAUUCGAAGCAACGCGAAGAACCUUACCAGGUCUUGACAUCCCGAUGCUAUUUCCAGAGAUAGAAAGUUACUUCGGUACAUCGGUGACAGGUGGUGCAUGGUUGUCGUCAGCUCGCGUCGUGAGAUGUUGGGUUAAGUCCCGCAACGAGCGCAACCCCUAUUGUUAGUUGCCAUCAUUCAGUUGGGCACUCUAGCGAGACUGCCGGUAAUAAACCGGAGGAAGGUGGGGAUGACGUCAAAUCAUCAUGCCCCUUAUGACCUGGGCUACACACGUGCUACAAUGGUUGGUACAACGAGUUGCGAGUCGGUGACGGCGAGCUAAUCUCUUAAAGCCAAUCUCAGUUCGGAUUGUAGGCUGCAACUCGCCUACAUGAAGUCGGAAUCGCUAGUAAUCGCGGAUCAGCACGCCGCGGUGAAUACGUUCCCGGGCCUU
rnacentral:rRNA from 1 species